rnacentral:rRNA from 1 species
GACGGAGGGUGCAAGCGUUGCUCGGAAUCAUUGGGCGUAAAGGGUGCGUAGGCGGCUUUUUAAGUCUGACGUGAAAGCCCAAGGCUCAGCCUUGGAAGUGCGCUAGAAACUGAAAGGCUAGAGUGCCGGAGGGGAGAGUGGAAUUCCUGGUGUAGCGGUGAAAUGCGUAGAUAUCGAGAGGAACACCUGCGGCGAAGGCGGGUUGCUGGGCCGACACUGACGCUGAUGCGCGAAAGCCAGGGGAGCGAACGGG